UUCAGCAACACAUAUAAAACACAUAUAAAUUUGGAAUGAUGUAGAGAUUAACAUGGCCCCUACUCAAGGAUAACAUGCAAAUUCAUAAAGCAAUCCAUAUAUUU
ensembl:snRNA U6 U6 spliceosomal RNA